rnacentral:rRNA from 1 species
AACUUUCAGCAACGGAUCUCUUGGCUCUCGCAUCGAUGAAGAACGCAGCGAAAUGCGAUAAGUAAUGUGAAUUGCAGAAUUCAGUGAAUCAUCGAAUCUUUGAACGCACCUUGCGCUCCUUGGUAUUCCGAGGGGCAUGCCUGUUUGAGUGUCAUUA